GUGCAGCAGUCGCGAAAACUUUACAAUGUGCGAAAGCACGAUAAGGGAACUCUGAGUGCCUCCUAAGGAGGCUGUUCAGGUGUCUAAAAGCACCUGAAGGAAGGGCUGGGUAAGACCGGUGCCAGCCGCCGCGGUAACACCGGCAGCCCAAGUGGUAGCCACGUUUAUUGGGUCUAAAGCGUCCGUAGCCGGCUGGGUAAGUUCCUUGGGAAAUUUGGCUGCUUAACAGUCAAGCUUUCAGGGAAUACUGCCCGGCUUGGGACCGGGAGAGGUCAGAGGUACUCCAGGGGUAGGGGUGAAAUCCAUUAAUCCUUGGGGGACCACCGGUAGCGAAGGCGUCUGACCAGACCGGGUCCGACGGUGAGGGACGAAGGCUAGGGGCGCGAACCGGAUUAGAUACCCGCGUAGU
rnacentral:rRNA from 1 species